rnacentral:rRNA from 1 species
GACGAACGCUGGCGGCGUGCCUAACACAUGCAAGUCAACUUGACUGAAGGAGCAAUCUGACAGUAGAGUGGCGCAAGGGUGUGUAACGCGUAAGUAACUUGCCCAAGGUAAGGAAUAACGUCGAGAAAUCGGCGCUAAUACCUCAUAAUGCAGCGGAUCCGCAUGGAUAUGUUGUUAAAGGUUUACCGCCUUGGGAUAGGCUUGCGUCUGAUUAGUUAGUUGGUGUGGUAACGGCACACCAAGGCUACGAUCAGUAACUGGUCUGAGAGGAUGAUCAGUCACACUGGAACUGAGACACGGUCCAGACUCCUACGGGAGGCAGCAGUGAGGAAUAUUGGGCAAUGCUCGAAAGAGUGACCCAGCAACGCCGCGUGGAGGAUGAAGGUAUUCUAUAUCGUAAACUCCUGUGAGGGCAGACGAAAGACAGAUUAUUAAUCUGGAUGACUGUAUGCUCAGAGGAACGCCCCGGCUAACUACGUGCCAG